ACUCAAAGGAAUAGACGGGGGCCCGCACAAGCGGUGGAGCAUGUGGUUUAAUUCGACGCAACGCGAAGAACCUUACCUAGGCUUGACAUAGCCGAGAAAGCCUCCAGAAACGGAGGCCCCUCUUCGGAGUUCGGUUACAGGUGCUGCAUGGCUGUCGUCAGCUCGUGUCGUGAGAUGUUGGGUUAAGUCCCGCAACGAGCGCAACCCCCGUUCUCAGUUGCCAGCGCGUCAUGGCGGGGACUCUGGGAAGACUGCCGAUGCUAAAUCGGAGGAAGGUGGGGACGACGUCAAGUCAUCAUGGUCCUUACGUCUAGGGCUACACACGUGCUACAAUGGCCGGUACAGAGGGUCGCAACUGCGCAAGCAUGAGCCAAUCCUAAAAGCCGGCCUCAGUGCGGAUUGGAGGCUGCAACUCGCCUCCAUGAAGCUGGAAUCGCUAGUAAUCGUGGAUCAGCUACGCCACGGUGAAUACGUUCCCGGGCCUUGUACACACCGCCCGU
rnacentral:rRNA from 1 species